AAUUGUUAUACUGGAACGACAUGAAAACAUUUUGAAGUUACGGAUGGCUUAAUACAAAUAGAUUUGUAUAUAAUUAUUGUAUACAAUUGCGGUGAAAUGACGCCUCAUAAUUCCCCUCCGGAGUCGGUUUCAUUGCAAGGCGGUUGGUCACCAUGGUUUUCGAACGGCCGAUCGCCUCCACUGAACUAAAUAUUAUUAUAGUUCAAUGAUCGCCUCUCUCACUCCCCGUAACCGCGAACAUAUAUCGCACGUACAAACGCGAGUACGCUUUCAAUGUCGUUUCACAUUCGAAAAAUCUUGUGAAAUAUUCACCUUCGCGAUCGUGUUAUUAUCAUCCAUAAACCGUUACUUACAGAAUAAUGAAUAAAUAAUUACUUCUAUAAUACCACAGAAUAUAAAUAUUACUAAUUCUUUACCAGUUCUUUACCAUUCUUUACCGGUCUAAUACCAGUAUACCACUUCCUUUUGUUGUCUGUACGCCCUUAUCACUAAUUCGUACAGAUGAUAACACUGAUACUGAAAACGAGCAAAGUUUUUAGACACCCCCCUCACCACUGCAGGGCAAGAAAAUAAUUUCAAAAUAUUAUGCUGCUACCUAUAUCAGAUUACGUACUAACCUAACCUUUUUAUAGUGUUUUAAUAUUUAAUACGAUUCGGCAUCGGAAUUUCGGUCAAGUUAAAAAAUUAAAUUCAUAGGUAAUUAUUAUAAAUAAUAAUAUGGCUGUAUCAUGUUCAGCGUAUGGGUGUACAAAUAAGCGACAGAAAGAAAACGGGAUACAUUUCCAUCGAUUUCCUCUAAAAAGACCAAAAGGUUUUAAAAAAAUGCUUACAUGAAAUACGACGAAAUAAUUUUACGCCCAACCAGUACAGCUAUUUAUGCAGUGAACAUUUCACACCUAGUGAUUAUUUAAAUGAAUCUCGUCCAGAGUUAGAUAAGAUAAGAAAUUGCUAAAAGACGAAGCAGUUCCAUCGGUCUUUAAAUUUCCUCAGCAUUUACAAAAAAAAAACAAUAAAUUAGUCGUCCACUACUUCUAAAUCGUCAAAAGGCCAAUGAUCAAAAUAAUAUGAUUCAUGCAAAUAUAGUUAAUGGAGCUGGCGAAGAUUCAUCAACUAAUACCAUG